CUGCUGCCCUUUACCAGUCUUGGAGGAUCACUUGAUCAAGGAUAUUUUCACUUCUUAUCCAGAGAAGUGUGAGCAAACAGCACAUGACAAACAGCACAGAAGAGCAGCAGACAGACUGCAAAGCAGAUAAACUGUGCAAAGACUGCCUAGUCAUCCCUGGAAAAUAUUAGCUGUUCUUGCUUGGCUACAAAUUUGCUUGGUGUGUCUAAAGCGUACUCACAGGAAAUGUGGAUGGAGAUGAUAUCUGAUCAAGACAACUGCCUAAUGGAUAAAUCCAGUAUUUGGUGGGGGUGUUAGGAUCUAAAUGAGGGAGUGCCCACCACAACACAGUGUCCUCUGGCAGGUAUUUAAACACUGGUUCUGCCUUUCUGUGCUUAUACUGCUCUGAUUUUCAUACAGAAGUAUCGUGAUCUGCAAUAUCACUUUUUCUAAAUUCCUUGUAUUUCAACAAAAUAAGGGGCUAAAUUCACAUAUCAAGAAUGUCACUAGUCCACAUCAUUGUAUUUCAGGAAAGUGGUUCACUUGCAGCACAGUGAAAGAGAAUCUUCAGUCUCUCAAACAAAACAUUACAUUUUAUUCCAGUGUUUACAUAGGCAGUUAUUAAAUAAAUCUACAAGAUUUAUUUUCUUAUCUUUGAUUUUUUAAUGAACUCUACUAGGAAACAUCUCUUUUCUUUUUUCCCACACAAAUGCAAAUGGUUGUUGCAGCAAAAAUACUUUGAAUCUGUAUUGGGUUUGUAUGGGCAGGUGUUGAUAAUGUGGGGUUCAGAGGGGUGGAUUCUGUGACAAGCUUCCAAAAGCCUCCUCCAUCUCAACAGAGCCAAUCCCUGGUGGCUUGAAGAUGGAUGUGCCACUAGCCAAGGCUGGACCAAUUAGAAAUUGUGAUAAUGCCUCUGUGAUAAUAUAUAUUAAAAAAGUUAUUGUGUAGUUGUAAUUGUGUCCAGGGAAAAGUGGGAUGAGAAAAUGUGAGAGGAGCAGCCCUGCAGACACCAAGAUCAGUGAGGAAGGAGGGGCAGGAGGUGCUCCAGAUAGCUGAGAUUCCCUGCAGCCUGUGGUGUAUCCCAUGGUGAAGCAGCUGUGCCCCUGCAGUCCAUGGAGGACCAUGGGGAUUCAGAUAUCCACCCACUGGAGGAGCCACUGGUGGAGCCUCAUGCCGGAGCAGGUGGAUGCCUGAGAUGAGGCUGUGACUCUGUGGGGGCUCCUCUCUGGAUCAGGCUCCUGGAAAGUUUCCUGUGGACCUGUGGAGAGAGGAGCCCACACUGGAUCAGAUUUCCUGGCAGGACCCUGUGGGGGACCCACACUGGAGCAGGCUGUGCCUGAAGGAGUGCACAUCGUGGAAGGGUGACCCACAUUGCAGCAAUUUGGGGAGGAAUGUCACCAAUAGGAUGGACUCAUGCUGGAGGAGUUAAUGGAGAGCUGUCUUCCGUGGGAGAGACCCCAUGUUAGAGCAGGGGAAGGACUCAUCUCUGAGCAGUGGCUGGAACAAUGUGUGGUCCCUGACCAUAACUCCCAUUCCCAUGUCCCUGCACUGCCUGGGGGAGGAGGUAGAGCUGGGAAGGAGGGAGGGGUAGAGGAAAGGUGUUUUUAAGGUCUUGCUUAACUUCUUAUUAUCCUGCUCUACUUUUGUUAGUAAUAAAUUCAAUUAAUGUCGCUAAUUCAAAUGUUUUUCCUGUGACAGUAUUUGGUGAGUGCUCUCUCCCGGUCCUUAUGUCAACCCAUGAACCCAUGAACCCCUUUUUAUAUUUUCUCUCCCCUGCCCAGUUGCAGAGGGAAGUGACAGAAUAUCUUUGGUUGGUUCCUGGCAUCCAGACAGGGUCAACCCACUACACUAUAUGGAAAGUUUAACAGACCUAAAAAGUAUUUGAAACUAAAGUGGGUUUGCAGUUUUUAAUCAGCACCUCAUUUUUUAAAAGGUUUUUCUACAAACACCUAUACAAAUGUCACCUUGCAAUCAAGAAAUAUGAAUGCAUCAGAAACUGUGUUCUGAAAUUUUAAUUUAUAAAACAGAGAAAUACAAAUGACUGUAAGAUUGAUGGAGGUACAAUAAAGAUGGAAAUAACUAUUCGUGUAAACAUUGUAAGUUCAAGAAGACGUACCGUGAAAAAUUAUUAAGAUUUUGCACUCCUUGCACUCUACAAAUUUCAAAGUGGUAAUGUCAUCAA